GAUGAACGCUGGCGGCGUGCCUAAUACAUGCAAGUCGAGCGAACAGACGAGGAGCUUGCUCCUUUGACGUCAGCGGCGGACGGGUGAGUAACACGUGGGUAACCUACCUAUAAGACUGGGAUAACUUCGGGAAACCGGUGCUAAUACCGGAUAAUAUUUCGAACCGCAUGGUUCGAUAGUGAAAGAGGGCUCUGCUAUCACUUAUAGAUGGACCUGCGCCGUAUUAGCUAGUUGGUAAGGUAACGGCUUACCAAGGCAACGAUACGUAGCCGACCUGAGAGGGUGAUGGGCCACACUGGAAGUGAGCCACGGUCCAGACUCCGACGGGAGGCAGAGGUAGGGAAUCGUCCGCACUGGGCGAAAGCCUGAAGGAGCAACGCAGCGUGAGUGAUGAAGGUCUUCGGAUCGUAAGACUCUGUUAGUAGGGAAGACCAAACGUGUAAGUAACUGUGCACGUCUUGACGGUACCUAAUGAGAAAGCAACGGCUAACUACGUG
rnacentral:rRNA from 1 species